AUUGAACGCUGGCGGCAGGCCUAACACAUGCAAGUCGAACGAGUGGCGGACGGGUGAGGAAUGUCUGGGAAACUGCCUGAUGGAGGGGGAUAACUACUGGAAACGGUAGCUAAUACCGCAUACCAUCGGAUGUGCCCAGCUGGGAUUAGCUAGUAGGUGGGGUAACGGCUUCCCUAGGCGACGAGCCCUAGCUGGGCUGAGAGGAUGACCAGCCACACUGGAACUGAGACACGGUCCAGACUCCUACGGGAGGCAGCAGUGGGGAAUAUUGCAGAAUGGGCGCAAGCCUGAUGCAGCCAUGCCGGGUGUAUGAAGAAGGCCUUCGGGUUGUAAAGUACUUUCAGCGGGGAGGCGUUACCCGCAGAAGAAGCACCGGCUAACUCCGUGCCAGCAGCCGCGGUAAUUC
rnacentral:rRNA from 1 species